GGUGGCUCAGUGGUAGAGUGCUUGCCUUGAAUGCACGAGGCCCUGGGUUCAAUUCCUCAGCACCA
rnacentral:tRNA from 1 species